rnacentral:rRNA from 1 species
GACCUCGGAUCAGGUAGGACUACCCGCUGAACUUAAGCAU